rnacentral:rRNA from 1 species
UACGUAGGGAGCAAGCGUUGUCCGGAAUCAUUGGGCGUAAAGCGCGCGUAGGCGGCCCCGUAAGUCCGCUGUGAAAGUCAAAGGCUCAACCUUUGAAAGCCGGUGGAUACUGUGGGGCUAGAGUCCGGAAGAGGCGAGUGGAAUUCCUGGUGUAGCGGUGGAAUGCGCAGAUAUCCGGAAGAACACCGGUGGCGAAGGCGGUCUGCUGGGCAGUUGCUGACGCUGAUGCGCGACAGCGUGGGGAGCAAACAGG